rnacentral:rRNA from 1 species
GAUGCAGCACGCCGCGUGCGGGAAGACGGCCCUAGGGUUGUAAACCGCUUUCAGCAGGGAAGAAACUGACGGUACCUGCAGAAGAAGGUGCGGCCAACUACGUGCCAGCAGCCGCGGUGACACGUAGGCACCAAGCGUUGUCCGGAUUUAUUGGGCGUAAAGAGCUCGUAGGGGGUUCGGUAAGUCGGGUGUGAAAACUCAAGGCUCAACCUAGAGAGGCCACCCGAUACUGCUGUGACUGGAGUACGGUAGGGGAGCGGGAAAUUCCUGGUGUAGCGAUGAAAUGCGCACAUAUCAGGAAGAACACCGGUGGCGAAGGCGCCGCUCUGGGCCGAAACUGACGCUGACGAGCGAAAGCGUGGGUAGCAAACAGGAUUAGAUACCCUGGUAGUCCACGCCGUAAACGUUGGGCACUAGGUGUGGGUCUCAACCAACGAAAUCCGCGCCGUAGCUAACGCAUUAAGUGCCCCGCCUGGCGAGUACGGUCGCAAGACUAAAACUCAU